rnacentral:rRNA from 1 species
UACGAAGGGGGCUAGCGUUGCUCGGAAUCACUGGGCGUAAAGCGCACGUAGGCGGCUUUUUAAGUCAGGGGUGAAAUCCUGGAGCUCAACUCCAGAACUGCCUUUGAUACUGGGAAGCUUGAGUCCGGAAGAGGUGAGUGGACCUCCGAGUGUAGAGGUGAAAUUCGUAGAUAUUCGGAAGAACACCAGUGGCGAAGGCGGCUCACUGGUCCGGUACUGACGCUGAGGUGCGAAAGCGUGGGGAGCAAACAGG